GUAGGUGGCAAGCGUUGUCCGGAAUUAUUGGGCGUAAAGCGCGCGCAGACGGUUCUUUAAGUCUGAUGUGAAAGCCCACGGCUCAACCGUGGAGGGUCAUUGGAAACUGGAGAACUUGAGUACAGAAGAGGAAAGCGGAAUUCCACGUGUAGCGGUGAAAUGCGUAGAGAUGUGGAGGAACACCAGUGGCGAAGGCGGCUUUCUGGUCUGUAACUGACGCUGAGGCGCGAAAGCGUGGGGAGCAAACAGGGAUUAGAUACCCUGGUAGUCCACGCCGUAAACGAUGAGUGCUAAGUGUUAGGGGGUUUCCGCCCCCUUAGUGCUGCAGCUAACGCAUUAAGCACUCCGCCUGGGGAGUACGGCCGCAAGGCUG
rnacentral:rRNA from 1 species